GACUCUUUUUUUUUUUUAAUUUUGUUUAUUUAUUCAUGACAGACACAGAGAGAGAGCAAGAGACACAGGCAGAGGGAGAAGCAGUCUCUCUGCGGGGAGCCUGAUUUGGGACUCGAUCCCAGGACUCUGGGAUUAUGACCUGAGCCAAAGGCAGACACUCAACCACUGAGUCACCCAGGCACCUGGGUCUUGAGGCCCAGCUCUCUUCUGCAGAAAGCAGUCAAAGAUCCUGCUCAAGUGCACACUGAGCCAGCAGGUUCACCAGAAAGCUAUUGAGCAUUGGCUGGAACACAUUAUGCAGGGUGAAUUUCUUCUGGAAUGUUGCCAAAGGUUUUUUAUGCUUCUGUGCUUAAUGAUUCAUUCAUUUGAACGCUUGUUAUGUUGGGCACACAAGUGAAAACAUCCAGGAACCAUUUUUGGUUCAAAUCUUGAGAAGAAGAAUCUAGACUGGAGAGACAGAUCUGAACAUCAUCAACACACAGCCUGCAAUUGUUUUAAGUCAUGGGGUUGGAGAGAAUCCCCACAAGAGAAAGUAUAGAGUUUUGGGGGAAGAUGAGCUACAAUAAGAGAGUGUUUUCAUCUUGCAUGUAAUUAAAUAAAAAGUUCCCUUGUGAUAUAAAAAAAUAUAUA
rnacentral:lncRNA from 12 species